GACAGAGGGUGCAAACGUUGUUCGGAAUUACUGGGCGUAAAGCGUGUGUAGGCGGCCACGUAAGUCGGAUGUGAAAGCCCCGGGCUCAACCCGGGAAGUGCACUCGAUACUGCGUGGCUUGAGUACUGGAGAGGUUGGUGGAAUUCUCGGUGUAGAGGUGAAAUUCGUAGAUAUCGAGAGGAACACCGGUGGCGAAGGCGGCCAACUGGACAGAUACUGACGCUGAGACACGAAAGCGUGGGGAGCAAACAGG
rnacentral:rRNA from 2 species